rnacentral:lncRNA from 1 species
CAGAGGUACAGGGACCUAGGCAAAAGGUGAAGGGAAGAGCUGGUCUUGCUUAAAGGGUAGGCACAUCGCAGCAGGACAAGUAUCAUUUGCAGUAACAGGGAACGCCUCCCUCUCUAGAAUGAACGCCACCCUUCCCUGGCUACUUGGCACUUCUGGAAGCUGCCUGCUCUGCACAGAAAAUAAACACUUCUCUGGCUGAAUUAAUUGAGGAAGUAAUGAUUGUUUUUGUUUCACAAGGUCAUAACAAGGAUUUAUAUUUGAACUCCACUUUGGAGAUGAAUAGCCUAGACUACCAAAUAGUCAAAGAAUCCUCUUGGCUAGAAAAAAGAUAAUGUUUUCACAUGUAAGUUUUUUUUUUAAUUUUUUUGUUUCUUAAAGUAAAUGAACUUCAGGGUUAAAGUGUAAUUCUAACUGUGUAUGAAAUAUUUAUUGGCUAUUAAACCUACAUUUUAAACUUUUCAAGCACUUAAGAGAUAAAACAUAAACAUGGCUAUCUAAAGACCUAAGUCCCCUCAUUCACCAACAACUCUGUCGUUAUCCAGGAGUCCCUGAAUCAUGUGGAUAAGCAAAAGAAUCAGAGCUCACUAUUUCUUAAUAUCCUUGGCUCCAACAGCCUUCAUUAGAACUCCCUGACACCUUCAUGUCUGUGGGCUUCAUCAUGACUACACAAAGAUCUCAGCAUUUCCCCCAACUUAUCUCCCACUCUCCAAGCACUUUUUCUCUCCAUCCAGUGUAGAGCUCUUAACAUUUCUCCAGAUGAUUCUGGAGAAUCAUCUUUUGCUCCAGAGGAAAGCAAGACUGAAAGUCAUGAGGAGGAUAAGGAGUGUAGUGAAGUUUAGAAUGUCCACCUUGAGCCACAGACACAGGAGAGGGUAGGCUCCUUCUUGCCAAUAUGAUUCAAGCCAUUAUUUCUCAAUACUGUGAGCUUGGGUCCAUCCAGAAUCUGCCAUCUGUGCUCUUUCUAAAGUACACAACAGCACAUUUGAAAGACUGUAUACAUUUGAGGUCUCCAAACUCACCUGGGUCCCAGGAGCCAAGACUUGACAGUUUCAAUGGAUCAUGUUGGCUAGAAGGAGCCUAUUCUCUCCUGGGUCUGUG